rnacentral:tRNA from 1 species
GCCAGCGUAGCUCAGUUGGCAGAGCAACUGAUUUGUAAUCAGUAGGUCGUCGGUUCGAAUCCGUCCGCUGGCUCCA